CGCAAGCCUGACGGAGCAACGCCGCGUGAGGGAUGAAGGCCUCUGGGCUGUAAACCUCUUUUAUCAAGGAAGAAGAACUGACGGUACUUGACGAAUAAGCCACGGCUAAUUCCGUGCCAGCAGCCGCGGUAAUACGGGAGUGGCAAGCGUUAUCCGGAAUUAUUGGGCGUAAAGCGUCCGCAGGCGGUUUUACAAGUCUGUCGUUAAAGCGUGGAGCUCAACUCCAUUUCAGCGAUGGAAACUGUAAGACUCGAGUGUGGUAGGGGCAGAGGGAAUUCCCGGUGUAGCGGUGAAAUGCGUAGAUAUCGGGAAGAACACCAGUGGCGAAAGCGCUCUGCUGGGCCAUAACUGACGCUCAUGGACGAAAGCCAGGGGAGCGAAAG
rnacentral:rRNA from 1 species